UAUUACGUAAUUAAAAUAUCUACUUCAUAAACACUAUGGUGGCAGCUCAUUUGCUAAGAACUCAUCAGCUGAGAACCUGUUGACUCAGUUGAGGAAGCCUUCCUCUGGUACAUCACGUUGCUGUUCUUUUAUUAUAAAACUAUAUAUAUAUAUAUGAGUUCAGCCCUAGAGAAAGUGUGAAAUAAACUGGUUGAAACAAACUGGGUUUAUUUUGCAUUUUUAAUAUCUACUUUGUAAGGUUGAUUAAAUGUCUCACAACUAUGUCUUUUUCAGCUACAAAGAAUUUUUCUCAUUUGGCUUUCUUUUACAUAAAUAGGUUUUACAGAAGGCGACACAUGUUGUUCAGAGUGAAGUGGACAAAUGUGUAGAUGAUAUUAUGAAGGAAAAGAAUAUUAACCCUGAGAAGGAUGCCAGUUUUAAAAUCUGCAUGAAGAUGUGCUUACUGCAGAUAACUGGUUAUAAACAGCUGUAUUUGGAUGUAGAAAGUGUGAGGAAAAGGCCAUAUGAUUCUGAUAACCUACAGCAUGAAGAGCUACUCAUGAAGCUUUGGAAUCUUCUAAUGCCCACGAAGAAGUUAAACGCUAGAAUCUCCAAGCAGUGGGCUGAAAUUGGUUUUCAGGGUGAUGAUCCCAAGACAGACUUCAGAGGCAUGGGCAUACUUGGAUUAAUCAAUCUUGUGUAUUUCAGUGAAAAUUACACUAGUGAAGCUCAUCAGAUUCUUUCCCGUUCAAAUCAUCCAAAAUUAGGGUAUUCUUAUGCAAUAGUUG
rnacentral:sRNA from 1 species